GAUGAACGCUGGCGGCGUGCCUAAUACAUGCAAGUCGAGCGAACAGAUGAGGAGCUUGCUCCUCUGACGUUACCGGCGGACGGGUGAGUAACACGUGGAUAACCUACCUAUAAGACUGGGAUAACUACGGGAAACCGGAGCUAAUACCGGAUAAUAUAUUGAACCGCAUGGUUCAAUAGUGAAAGACGGUUUUGCUGUCACUUAUAGAUGGAUCCGCGCCGCAUUAGCUAGUUGGUAAGGUAACGGCUUACCAAGGCAACGAUGCGUAGCCGACCUGAGAGGGUGAUCGGCCACACUGGAACUGAGACACGGUCCAGACUCCUACGGGAGGCAGCAGUAGGGAAUCUUCCGCAAUGGGCGAAAGCCUGACGGAGCAACGCCGCGUGAGUGAUGAAGGUCUUCGGAUCGUAAAACUCUGUUAUUAGGGAAGAACAAAUGUGUAAGUAACUAUGCACGUCUUGACGGUACCUAAUCAGAAAGCCACGGCUAACUACGUG
rnacentral:rRNA from 1 species